AGCCGGGGCAGGUUUUUCGGUCGCAAGUAGGAAGCUUUUUGCACUACACCGGAGACCGGGAGCCACGGAUCCCGCCGCACAGCCCGCAGCGCCCGCACCGCCGCCGCGCCCGCCCCAGCCCGUCCGGCCCCUGGCGGGCGCGAUGAACCCGCGCCUGAGCCUCAGCCGGCCCGCCGGGCACUGAGCGCGGGCGCCCAGGGCGCGUUGCGCAGCUGCUCCUGCGCACAACCCCGCUGCCGCCGGCCCGCACCGGCCGCCCGGAGCGAGAGGCUGGUCCGUGCACUGCGCCCGGCGCCGGCCGCGGAGCAGGAAGCGCAGGCCACGCAGGGACCCAACUGGAACAAAGUGUCUGCCGCCGGGUGCCGCGCCCCGACCCCGCCGCGCCCCUGCGCCGCCCACCAUGGCCUCCGAGGAGCUGUACGAGGUACUCCCCUCCCCCCGGCGGCGCCCCCGGCCCGCGGGCCUCCGUGCCCGGUUUGCUGGACGGGAAGCGUGCGCCAGCCCCCGGAGCGAGCGGCGGCCGGAGGGGCCGACGGGCGGGGGCGCCGGAGUUGCCGGGCCGGGCGGGGGGAAGUGGCGCUGACACGAGCGACUUGCUCAGACUCAGCCCAAAGUGCUGCUGGCGAGGGGAGCCCGUGCCUGAGCGCGGCAGGGUCCGUGGGCGGCGCGGGGGUGCUUUUCCUGCCCGUUUGGUCGAGCCGGGUGGACAGGGUGUCGCCUCACGGGGGGCCCGUGCGGCUGUCUCCACUCGGGUACUAGCCAGAGAGAUGCAAAAUUUCGCACCGAAAAUGCUGAGCGUUGACCACAUGCUUUAAUUAGGUUAGCAUUGUGGCCGGAGCCAGGAAAUUGAACUUAAACGCUGAUGCGCUGUCGUCGCAGCCUUGCGAGUAGGAAAGGGUUCUAAGAGUCGAGGCGAUGAGUUAUGGGUGAUGGGUCUGCCAGCUUUAACUUCAAGUUUGAGAGUUAUCGGUCUGGAUCUUUCACGUAUUCUGAAUGUCUCCACAUAACUCCUUGACGUAUUUCAAAGUAGACUUCCUGGGAGUACAGAAGGGUAAAAGCUGUGCCUUUGGAAUACGUUGUUGGUUUCACAUAUUUGUACAUUCAUCUUUUUAAGAGGCUUAAAACUCUCCAGAUUCUAUCCAGACUCACCUUUAGGAUGCCUUUAGGAACUUGGCUGUUUAGGGAUUGAAAUGGGCAUCUGUAACUGCAGCCUUGUGUGAUCCUUCCAAGGGGGUACCGCCUUCAGUGUGUAUAGCUGCUUUCGGCAUAGACUGAAGCUUUGCUGACAACAAUGAGGCUUGUAGCAACUUUUUGAUGAGUUUUGGUUGCUUUGAAAAAAAACCAAAGGUUUACAAAAGUCCUUCGAAGGAGGCUACCUUCUAUAGACCAAGGGGAAGGCUGUUGCUUGCCCUUUAUUUGAGCUUCAGUCUACUGUACCUAUCAUUGAAAAUUGUCUCCCCCUUUCAACCAUUUUACACAUUAGCAGUGCCCUACUGUAUUCAAGAUGCUCUCUUAGGUCACUGGGGGAUAUGAAGAGAAAACUCCACUCUCCCGAGAAGCUUGGCUUCCAGGAAUGGAAGUGUCUUGAUGGGUGCCAGCACAGUAGAGGCUAGGAUGUAGAAAAGAUGUCUUACUCACCAAGUCGUGGAAAGUACAGAAAGUACUGAGUGUGAUCAAGGUGGGGAUUUACUUGUCACAUUAGAUCAUUCUUUGGUGGCUGACUCUUGUGUGUUCACUGUUGAGCUUCUUGGGGGAUUCUAAAUAUGGUUCCCAUUUGGUAUCUGGGGGAGAGGUGCACAUUAUACAUAAGUUGUAUCCUCCGUGGGUAAAGAUGACACACACUGAUUGUGUUAGGAAUUAGUAAAGUUACUUUCUGUUUAUUCUAUAGCUUCCUGUUUUCUACUCACCAUUUUUUCUGACAGAGGUCACUUAGAGAUAAAUAACAUCUUAUACCAAGUUUGUGUUCAUUCAGGGUGAUUUUGAAUGUCUGUGGUAUGGAGGCUUAGAGGUAGAGGCAUGUCAUGGGCAGUGCUCUCAAGAAGCAGCUCUUGGGGAACAGAUAGCUACAGUGCAAGUAAGUGGUGUACCUGGGCCAUGGCAGUUUCCAGUCUGGGUCUUUCCUUAGUUUGUUUUGAGGGAAAAGAUAACAUGAAGAUACGACUAAAGUGAUGAAAGCCAUUGUAGGUGUGUUCUGGUUGGUAUCUUUUAAGCUUCCUUCUAACUUCUUUACUUGAUGGAAACAUCGGGACUGUAUUACAACUAAAAGUUGAUGUUUAAGGGGUGGUGGCACAGCACUUGGGAAGCAGUGUUGUGAGUUUGGGGUCAACCUGGUCUACAGAGCCUGUUCUAGGAUAGCCAAGACUGCAAAACAAACAAACAAACAAACAAACAAAACAACAAAACCCCUCUCUGG
rnacentral:lncRNA from 1 species